rnacentral:rRNA from 1 species
CGCUUUUUGAGUUUAAUAAAAAGUACAACCUGCCCACUGAGAGUUUAAAUGGCCGCGGUAAUUUGACCGUGCGAAGGUAGCAUAAUCAUUAGUCUAUUAAUUGUAGACUGGUAUGAAUGGUUUAAAUGAAUAAUGGCUGUCUCUUAAAUAAUAAUGAAUUUUAAGAUUUUGUGAAGAUGCAAAAAUUAAAUUAGAAGACGAGAAGACCCUAUUAAGCUUUAUAUCACUUUUGUUUAAUAAGAAUAAUAGUUAAAGUGUUAUUUUGUUGGGGCGAUAGUAAAGAUUAAAUAACCUUUAUAUAAAUUGAUAUUUUUAAUAGAUUUAUGAUCCAUAAUAUAUGAUUAAUAGAACAAGUUACUAUAGGGAUAACAGCGUAAUUUUAUCAGAGAGUCCAAAUUGAUGAUAAAGAUUGCGACCUCGAUGUUGAAUUAGGAUACCUUUAAGGUGUAGCCGUUUUAGAAGGUAGACUGUUCGUCUAUUAAAGUCCUACA